rnacentral:tRNA from 1 species
GAGGUUGUAGCUCAGUGGUAGAGUAUUUGCCUCAAAUGUGUGAGGCCUGGGUUCAAUCCUCAGCACCACA